GUCCAUUUUCCCACAUGAACUGUCAUGGCGAUACUAUAAAAGCACAGUAAUGCGUGUGCACCUUGCACUCGAGCGACGACGCGCGCGCAGGACUGAGCCAGAGUCCCUGCGUAACCACACCUAAGACUUGCUGGGAUGUGACGAUGCAGCCGUCACGCUCAGCAGGUCCGGCGGCUCGGUGCGGGGCGGCCGGCAACGUCGGAGAAUGUCUGCCGACGUCGCGCGGCCGUAAAGCUGGCCAGCGCGGCUGCCGCGGCUCCCUUGGAGCGGCUGGCAGAGCUUUAGCGCUUUUGGAACAAAUUUCUUACAACACUUAAUAUUAAGUAACUGACAAGUUUGUAGCAGUUUAACACUAAACCUCGUCGAAAAAUAGUACGAAAAUUAGAGCAGCUGCAAUGAAAUGGUUAAACUACGUUUAUAUUUUUCUUAUAUUCAUUUAUUUUUGUUCAAUGGGAUAACAUGGCGAUUUAAAUGACAAUAGUUAGUUUUUCUCCAAUUUAAUAGGUAUUAAGCUGUAGGUUACACACGUGUUAAUUCUUUCACCGUCAUAGGACACUUUUCCAAUUGUUACUUUUCCAGUUGUGGGAGGAUAAGUUAAGUUUUCUCUAAUUUUCAUUUCCUUUUUGUAAAUAGUUUUUAAGGUCACUAUACUUCAUACGCAAAUAAGUUUUUUGUUUUUGUCAAGUAAGAGUCAGCAAACCUGGAUGUUCGGGUGGAACCAUAAUAGGUGUAUUGUUUUUAUUAUUUCGAGUGUUUAAAUUGUUACAGAUAAGAUCAUAGUCUUUAGCCGUUUCAUAUUGCUUUUUUCAUUAAU